GGGAAUGUAGCUCAGUGGCACAGUGCCUGCCUGGCAAGCAGCAGACCCUGAGUUCGAUUCUCAGUACCA
rnacentral:tRNA from 1 species